UUGUGGUAUUUCUUCACUCUUUUACAUAUAUUUUUAUCUCUUUUUUCAUUAUUUAUUUCAUAAUUUAAUUCUCCUCCUUUCUAUUCUUUCAUAUUCUCUAUGCAACCUCCCUCAUUCUCCAAUUCUUUUCUUUACCCCUAAUAGCCUUAUCAGUAUCGUAAAUUUUUUUGUUACUAUUCAAAUUCCUUUUCUCUUCCUUUCUUUUUUCAAAUUUUGAAUUGAAAACUAAUUUAAUGCAACUACUCCAAAAGAUAAUUUCAUUUUUUCCAAUUCUUUCCUCUAUUCAAGCUCUGAUGUCCAACGACGAUCCCUCCUCCUGGUUGAUGAAGGUGUCGCUCAUCAUCUGGACUCCUCAGCUGCACGAGUUUUUUCUUAUUAUGGUGUCCGCUGCUGAUGCCAUGGUGUGGGUUACUGUUAUUGACGAGGCGGCUGCGACCAUGGGUUUCAUCUGUGACUAAGUUCUGAUGGUGGUGGUGGUGUCCGGAGGAGAAAGCACUAAAAAAAAGUAGAUUGGUGUAAAGAAUUGAGCAACAGCCACAUAGAGGACAUGCACCGAGACUAGAAAAUCAAACAGCACAGCACCGGUGGUCUAUAAUAGAUUGGUUUGGGAAGCUAGUGGUGUCAGGUGGAAUUCCAUAGUCGAUGAUGUGAGCAAAGCAAACCUGAUCUUUACUGGUUUAAUUGAAGUUACUGCAGAAUCUGUUAAGCCAUCAUCUUCAAGAUGAUUUCAAUCUAGCUAGCAGCAAACAUUAAUACAUGCAUUUGGAGAAGCAAAUUUUGAUACAUUAAUUUAUUUUCCUAUGAAUGAGAAGUUACUCCAAAAUUUUUUGAGCUAUCACCCUCAUUCCUAGAGAUGCUAGAGUGUUUCAAGAUGAUUUCAAUCCAGCUAGCAACAAACAUGAUUACAUGCACUUGGAGAAGCAGAUUUUGAUGCAUCAAUUUAUUUCCUUAUAAAUCAAGUAGUCAAUAUUACCAUGGAAUUGAACACCUAUUCAACUAAUGCACUUCAAUUAUAGUUUCUGACUCUUUUGUAAUA